rnacentral:rRNA from 1 species
AUACGUAUGUCGCAAGCGUUAUCCGGAUUUAUUGGGCGUAAAGCGCGUCUAGGCGGCUUAGUAAGUCUGAUGUGAAAAUGCGGGGCUCAACCCCGUAUUGCGAUGGAAACUGCUAAACUAGAGUACUGGAGAGGUAGGCGGAACUACAAGUGUAGAGGUGAAAUUCGUAGAUAUUUGUAGGAAUGCCGAUGGGGAAGCCAGCCUACUGGACAGAUACAGACGUUAAAGCGCGAAAGCGUGGAUAGCAAACGGGGUUAGAUUCCCUGGUAGUCCACGACGUAAACGAUGAUUACUAGGUGUUGGGGGUCGAACCUCAGCGCCCAAGCUAACGCGAUAAGUAAUCCGCCUGGGGAGUACGUACGCAAGUAUGAAACUCAAAGGAAUUGACGGGG